UACGGAGGGUGCAAGCGUUGUUCGGAAUCAUUGGGCGUAAAGCGCGUGUAGGCGGCUUGGCAAGUCGGUUGUGAAAUCCCGGGCCCAACCCCGGAACUGCAUUCGAAACUGCCUCGCUAGAGUCCCGGAGAGGAAGGCGGAAUUCCCGGUGUAGAGGUGAAAUUCGUAGAUAUCGGGAGGAACACCAGCGGCGAAGGCGGCCGUUCUGGACGGUGACUGACGCUGAGACGCGAAGCGUGGGAGCAAACAGG
rnacentral:rRNA from 1 species